GAUGAACGCUAGCGGCAGGCCUAAUACAUGCAAGUCGGACGGGAUUCAGGAGCUUGCUUCUGAUGAGAGUGGCGCACGGGUGCGUAACACGUAUGUAACCUACCUUUAUCAGGGGGAUAGCCUCUCGAAAGAGAGAUUAAGCCCGCAUAAAAUCACAGCACAGCAUUGUGUAAUGAUCAAAUAUUUAUAGGAUAAAGAUGGGCAUGCGGAACAUUAGCUAGAUGGCGGGGUAACGGCCCACCAUGGCGACGAUGUUUAGGGGAUCUGAGAGGAUGGCCCCCCACACUGGUACUGAGACACGGACCAGACUCCUACGGGACGCAGCAGUAAGGAAUAUUGGUCAAUGGGCGGAAGCCUGAACCAGCCAUGCCGCGUGCAGGAAGACGGCCCUACGGGUUGUAAACUGCUUUUAUACGGGAAUAAACCCAGAUACGUGUAUCUGGCUGAAUGUACUGUAAGAAUAAGGAUCGGCUAACUCCGUG
rnacentral:rRNA from 1 species